ACGUAAUGUUUAUCAUCAUUUCACUAGUAACUACCUAGGCCAAGAUUUCACUUUGACCGUCGGCAGGAGAAUGCAGACCCCUAGGCCUAGAGUAGGCUAAACUAAUGAGUUUGUAAGAUUGAGUUUAAAACUAACAUGAUUUUCAGACUUCUAAGGUUUCUGGCUAAUAAUGAGCAACUUAUAGAAAAGCUCUCCGAGUCGAGAGUAAUGAGACGGAUUGCCCAGAUGACUGCAUACUCCAUGAAUAAAGCACAAGAAAUAGGUCACGAAGCAAUAGAAAAAGCAGCCGAGUCUGAGAGUAUAAGGAAGUUCUCAGAGACCGAGUCACAGGAUGAGAAUAAGAUAUCAACAUUCAGCAGAACAUUUAUGAAAGAAGUGCAGGAGGGACUGAAAGAAAUGAAUGAAGAACUAAAAAAGAAAGAUUGAAUUUAGGAACAGACUACAUUUGUUUGAUUUAAAAACCACCUUACUUGGAAUUCUUAUAAAUAUAUACUGUAUAUAUAAUAAAGUUUUCUAAAUUAGAAUUGUAAAUUGUGUUGUAGAAAAUACAGUAUGAUUUGUGUUAAGUGUAAAGGAGUAAGGGGUUACUUCUUCACAGUCUAGCUAGUAGCAGCAGCAGACCCAAGCCGGUGAGAUGUUUACAUCUAAUUGUGAACUCAGUUGAUGAAGGAGCACUGUAACAUUCAGGGGACUAAGCACAUUUGUUUUUAAUUUAAAAAACAUCUUGCAUUACAUUGCAUCUUGACUAAUGUUCUGUAGGGUUGUAGCUGUAGGAAACAUUUUAAGAGUGGGCCUAAACAAAUUGUUUGCCCUCCAGCGCCCGCCCCUAACUCACUGAAAAAUAGGGGGGUUUUAAAAAAUUUUUGUUCACUAAUUUAAGGAAGUGAUCUUUUCUUCUCCAUUUUGCACAUGAAAGUUGUCUAAAUUUGGUGUCUUGUGUAAAAUAUCGCCCUUCUAGGCCUAUAUUCAUUACAAAAUAUUGAUUAUUGGUUAUUUUUAUUUAGUCUGAUGAAUACCCUUUGAAAAGCAAAUACUGUACUAAUUUCAAGCACUGCAAUUUAAUGUUAAU
rnacentral:misc_RNA from 1 species